GUUAGGAAGUUUGUAGAGGAACGACAAUAAUUUGACUAACCAAGUAAGAGAACUUGUAUUGAAAUAGUCGUGGAGAAAAAAUUGAAGACUCAAAGUUAUCUCCCUUUUGGUUUCUUGUUAUAAAAGGAUUUUGAUUUGUUUGUGCUUAAAUGGAUUAGAAAUGACGACCAUUUGACUAACCGAGUAAGAAAACUCGUAUUCAAAUGAUCGAGGAGAGGAGUUGAAAAC
rnacentral:lncRNA from 1 species